rnacentral:rRNA from 1 species
AACGUAGGAGACAAACGUUAUCCGGAGUUACUGGGCGUAAAGGGCGUGUAGGUGGUUUCGUAAGUCUGGCGUGAAAUUUUUCGGCUUAACCGGGAAAGGUCGUCGGAUACUGCGGAACUAGAGGGCGGUAGAGGCGUGUGGAAUUCCGGGUGUAGUGGUGAAAUGCGUAGAGAUCCGGAGGAACACCAGUGGCGAAGGCGGCACUCUGGGCCGGUACUGACGCUGAGGAGCGAAAGCGUGGGGAGCAAACAGG